rnacentral:misc_RNA from 1 species
AAGUCGUAACAAGGUUUCCGUAGGUGAACCUGCGGAAGGAUCAUUAGCGAAGUUCGGAAUGCAUGUUCGGUGUUGAUGCUGCCCAGCGAUGGGAUGUGCUCGCUCGGAUGUGUGUCCCUUCUCUAUCCACCCCAUUGUGAACCAAGUGUGUGAGCCGAAGAGAAAUCGGACGCUCGCAUGCAAACCUUUAACAUACCCCAAUGAAGUAUCAGAAUGUACCUUGCGUUAACUCGCACAAAUAUAACUUUCAACAACGGAUCUCUUGGCUCUC